UCCCAGGUGCUAGGAGAGACUCUCCCUGGAAGUGCGGGGCAUGUGAUGGGCUAUUCACCCACCUGGACACCUGGGGCGAAGGUGUCAAACUUGUGGGGCACCCGGUGGGCUCCACUCACCUGUAAUUCACCUCUAAUUCCCCUGUGGUGAGAACAUAAAACAGAGUGCAAUGUACUUGUGAAACCAUCCUGAGAUCUUGCACUUGGAAGACCUGGACAGCUGCCAUUGCCCAGACGAUGCAGAAAGACUUGGACAGGAACAUCUGCCUGAGACCCAGGCAGGGGGAGAAGGUGGGUGUCAGGAAACAUCCCAACGCCAGUAUUCGGGAUGCCGGGAGAGAACAGGGGGCACACAUCCAAUGUUGUAUUUCAACAAGUCACAGGACUUUUGAGUCAGCUCUGAACUGGUUUGACCACAGAGAAAGGAUGACUCUUAUGCCUAGAAGAAAAAGAACACAAGCAUGAAGUCAUGUUUUGGGCUGAGAGGAAUCAAAUAUCUUCUUGGAAGGGACCAGCCGCGUUUGGUGGAAAUGAGGUGAGGAUUCUGUGCUGCUUUUCCUUAGAGGCACCUGGGGGGACAACAUCCAUUCCCCUGCAAAAAAGCAAGUGAACAGGCCAGGUGUGGUGGCUCUCAACUGUAAUCCCAGCAUUUUGGGAGGCCGAGGUGGGUGGAUCACAUAAGGUCAGGAGUUUGAGACCAAUCUCACCAACGUGGUGAAACUCUAUCUCUACUAAAAAUACAAAAUUAGCCUGGCAUGGUGGC
rnacentral:lncRNA from 1 species